GUGCCCCUAGAGGUAUUGCUGGUGGGGCUUCCAUGUCAGUAGGUGGCAGAGAGGAGAGAGGUUUUGUCUACUAUACUCAGUGUUCUGAUCUAUGAACAUCGGAAUGAUUAGUAGUGAAACAAU
rnacentral:snoRNA from 1 species